UAGUGAGUUUGAUCCUGGCUCAGAAUGAACGCUGGCGGCAUGCCUAACACAUGCAAGUCGAACGAAGCCUUCGGGUUUAGUGGCGCACGGGUGCGUAACGCGUGGGAAUCUGCCCCUUGGUUCGGAAUAACAGUUGGAAACGACUGCUAAUACCGGAUGAUGACGUAAGUCCAAUGAUUUAUCGCCGAGGGAUGAGCCCGCGUAGGAUUAGGUAGUUGGUGUGGUAAAGGCGCACCAAGCCGACGAUCCUUAGCUGGUCUGAGAGGAUGAUCAGCCACACUGGGACUGAGACACGGCCCAGACUCGUACGGGGAGGCAGCAGUGGGGUAAUAUUGGACAA
rnacentral:rRNA from 1 species